rnacentral:rRNA from 1 species
CUCAACCGUUGAACUGCCUUUGAUACUGGUAGACUUGAGGAUAAGGGAAGAAAACGGAAUUCCUAGUGUAGCGGUGAAAUGCGUAGAUAUUAGGAAGAAUACCGAUGGCGAAAGCAGUUUUCUAACUUAUUCCUGACGCUCAGGUACGAAAGCUAGGGUAGCAAACGGGAUUAGAUACCCCGGUAGUCCUAGCCGUAAACGAUGGAUACUAGGUGUUGGGGGUUCGAUCCCCUCGGUGCCGCAGUUAACGCAUUAAGUAUCCCGCCUGGGGAUUACGACCGCAAGGUUGAAACUCAAAGGAAUUGACGGGGGCCCGCACAAGCGGUGGAGCAUGUGGUUUAAUUCGAUGCAACGCGAAGAACCUUACCAGAACUUGACAUCCCUGUGACUAUUUCUUAAUCGAAAGUCUUCCCUUUUGGGAACACA